rnacentral:rRNA from 1 species
GAUGAACGCUGGCGGCGUGCCUAAUACAUGCAAGUCGAGCGAACAGACGAGGAGCUUGCUCCUUUGACGUUAGCGGCGGACGGGUGAGUAACACGUGGGUAACCUACCUAUAAGACUGGGAUAACUUCGGGAAACCGGAGCUAAUACCGGAUAAUAUUUCGAACCGCAUGGUUCGAUAGUGAAAGAUGGCUUUGCUAUCACUUAUAGAUGGACCUGCGCCGUAUUAGCUAGUUGGUAAGGUAACGGCUUACCAAGGCAACGAUACGUAGCCGACCUGAGAGGGUGAUCGGCCACACUGGAACUGAGACACGGUCCAGACUCCUACGGGAGGCAGCAGUAGGGAAUCUUCCGCAAUGGGCGAAAGCCUGACGGAGCAACGCCGCGUGAGUGAUGAAGGUCUUCGGAUCGUAAAACUCUGUUAUUAGGGAAGAACAAACGUGUUAGUAACUGUGCACGUCUUGACGGUACCUAAUCAGAAAGCCACGGCUAACUACGUG